CACCGCCCCCUGCCGAGUCCGGUACGCCCCCCACGGGCCCCGGAGCCGGGGACCCACCGCGCACCACCGGGGUGAAUCGGUUCUGAUCCGAACCGUAGGGCAGCCUUCCGUACGCCCGAACCCGACAGCUAACCCGGCAGGCGGUCCACGGAAGGAGUC
rnacentral:sRNA from 2 species